AUGCUCCGUAGACCUCUUUCUUUUAAAGUGUAUCAUCAGUUCAGUUUGUUUCUGCAGCUAUUUGGGGGUUAUGUGGCAACCUUCAGAAACAACAGAAACUAUUGGAAUAUUAGAGGAUUCGCGGUUAUGUGGCAACCCAUCGGCUGUCUGAAAUCUGGCCCCUCUGUACUGUGCUCAGUAGCUGAACCAAUCAGAAGAGAGAAUAAGGGGGCUCCGAGUGGUUCAUGUAGCUUGCCAUCGGUUGCCGGAGCCCCGAGAGAGCACAAUUGGCUUUUCUCUCUCUGGGUGGGUAGAUGGUGCUCUCUCUUCAGACAUGACUCCAAAGGGAGAUGUCAGCACAAGGCGUCUGUGAGCUAAUGUAUUGGAACUGAGUCGCUGGGCUUUCCUCCGAGUGGCUGGCUUCACAUUUAUCAGAGGAGGCAUGUUCUAGUCUUCACCCUCCAAUUUUGGGGCAUCACUAGUGAUAGGGGGAGUCUUAAUGAGUGCGUUAGGUUAUUGCCCGUGUAAAUUGGGGAGAAAUUUCGUUGAGCUUUGAUGACGUUCCUCUUGUGCUAAUGAUUCACCUACACGUUCCUUUUACACUCAUAAUCACACCAAUAGCCUCAAUGUUCCCUCAGCCCUCUUUUCACAAGAUUAAAGGUCUAGUUUCUUUAGAAAUGUUUUAUUCCAAUUUAAAUGGAGCAGCAGUUCCAUAAAUACUGUAUAUAUACUUGUGACUCUAUGGGCUAGUGUUGUCACAAUACCAAAAUUAUAACUGUCUAAAUAUCUAAAUAGUCAUUCUGAAACAAUAUCACAGCAAAAACCUAAAUCAUCAGAAAUUAUUGGAAUAUUAAAGGAUUGAGGGUUAUGUGGCAACCUGCCUCCCUGAAAUGAGUUUUUGCAGCAUUGGGUUUCUGUUGUAGGAUGACUUAUAGUCUGCUGCACAACCAGAUUUAGAAAUGUCAGGAACACAUUUUGGAAUGAUUUAAUUUGCCAAGAUAUCAUAUUUGUGAUGUAAUAAAACCAACAGACGUAGUGAAUUUACCA
rnacentral:lncRNA from 1 species